CAAAAACAAGAAAUACAAAGGAAGCCAUCGAGCAUCCUGCUGUGUUGCUGACUUCCCGAUCAGAAGAAGCUGACUUACGGGGAAACUCAUGCAGUUACGAUAAUUCCUCUCCUGGGUGUGUUACAUACCACAAAAUGAUUUUAAUCAUGAACCAAAUUCAAUGUAGGAUGGAAGGAGAGGAGAUGGAUAAACAGACAGACAUGUCUCCAGGGUUUCAUGGUUGUCACCGUGGAAAUGGGUGGAGUUUUCAAGAACCAUAGCCGAAUUCAUGCUUCUUGAUGCUGAACCGC